GAUAAACGCUAGCGGCAGGCUUAACACAUGCAAGUCGAGGGGCAGCAUAGAUUGUAGCAAUACAAUUGGUGGCGACCGGCGCACGGGUGCGUAACGCGUAUGCAACCUACCCGUCACAGGGGGAUAAUCCGGAGAAAUCUGGUCUAAUACCCCAUAACAUAUGGAUCGGCAUCGGGUCAUGUUGAAAUUUUCGGAGGUGACGGAUGGGCAUGCGUAGCAUUAGCUUGUUGGUGGGGUAACGGCUCACCAAGGCGACGAUGCUUAGGGGGUCUGAGAGGUUUUCCCCCCACACUGGUACUGAGACACGGACCAGACUCCUACGGGAGGCAGCAGUGAGGAAUAUUGGUCAAUGGGCGCAAGCCUGAACCAGCCAUGCCGCGUGCAGGAUGACGGCUCUAUGAGUUGUAAACUGCUUUUGUACGAGGGUAAAGUGGGUUACGUGUAACCUUUUGAAAGCAUCGUACGAAUAAGGAUCGGCUAACUCCGUGCCAGCCGCCGCCGUAA
rnacentral:rRNA from 1 species